UGAACAAAAACAUUUCUACUUAGCAGUCUAUUCUACUCAGAUGAGAUGCUCAGGCAAAUUUCACACACUCGUCACUGGUUAUUCACAUCUGUGACCUUCUCAAAGUGGCCUGGAAAACCUCCUGCGUUCAGGUCAUAGGCCUAGUGUAUUCACGGAGCAGCCAACAAGGCCAGAAGUGGGCACAGGAGAAUGUGUGUUCUGUCAGCAGCUAAGAGCACAGAUCUGGGCGUUGAUCAAGACUCUGAAGUGUGGCCUGAGAAAACACAGAACUGAGGAAUCUAUGGCUCUGGUAUGUUUAAGGCACUCUGCCAGGCACAGGGCACAGUGGACACAUGAAAAUGAAGACAUCAUCUCUGAGUUCUUGAUUCAGCAGAAUAAAGAGAGUCUUGCAAGAAUACUAUCAGGAGAUGAAUAAAGGUGGAGCAAGGAGGGAAAAGAGGAGCAUACCAAGUGCAAGUUUUGAUAUUAUGGGCCCUUUGCAACCUCAUCAACUGAUGAUGGGGAACCUUUUCCAGGUCUUGACACAGUGUCUUUUAAAUUGAUUUUGGAACCCCAGUUACCCAGUACUCAGCUUCUUGCUUCAUUUUCUUAUUCAUCUAUGAGAGAUUUUGUCUGGUAUAUCCUAUGUUUUUAGCUAUAUUUAUAUCUUAUUAAAAUGUUAGUAACAUAUCUUGGCAAUUUUCAAUAAGAAGUCAAAUGCUUUUAUAAAGAUAUAAAAUUCACUCCAAUGUUAAGAGUUUCCAGCAACUAAGGAAUCUCAAAUUUGUAGACUUCAGUGUCCUGGCCACCCUGCUAAUUUGGAUAUGAAAGUGUUGCUGUGUCUCCUGUCAGCAGAGUUGCUCAAGUCUUCUUGGUUCCACUGCAGGCAUUGCCAAUAACUGUCUUUGGAUUUUGGGUUGUUAUUUCUCUUUUAUUGGUUUCAGUUCCCUCUGUGAACUAAGAGGUUGGAUAUCAUUAUCUUAUUGCAUUUUAAUAUUUCUCUUAUUUUUGGUCAUGCAUUCCUUUAUUAAAAUUUCUAAUUUGUAAAAUAGGUUAUAUAUUCAUAUGCCUUAAAAUCCAAAUGCUACAAAUACAUCUGCAGUAAAAGACACUACUGUCCUUUAUUUGUCCAGUUCCCACUCCACUCUUCCUCAUAAGUAAUUACUUUUAUUAGUUUUUUUCAGGUUUUCUUUCAGAAAUCCUUCCUGCAAACACAGUCAAAUCUUGUCCUCUCUUCUUAUGAAGAAAAUUAGAGCACAUUUUAUACAAAAUAUGUACCUAAAAAAACCUGUCUUUCUUAUAGGUAGAAUGUGCCUUUGUUCUUUUGCAUAGCUGGUUAGCAUUGUGUUUUAUUGAUACAGUUUAACUUAUUUAACUAAACUGCUAAUGAUAGCUCUAUAGGUUUAUAUUUUGCUAUUACAAUAUAUCAUAUUAAAUAACCUUGUGCAUAUAUAAUUUCU